rnacentral:rRNA from 1 species
GACGAACGUUGGCGGCGUGCUUAAUACAUGCAAGUCAACUGAAGCAGUGGUAGCAAUAUCGCUGUGGAGGUGGCGCACGGGUGAGUAACACGUAGGUAAUCUGCCUUCAGGUCUGGCAUAACUCCGGGAAACCGGGGCUAAUAGCAGAUGAUGCAGCGGCUCGACAUCGAGACAGUUGUUAAAGCUAUGGCGCCUGAAGAUGAGCCUGCGUCUGAUUAGCUAGUUGGCGGGGUAACGGCCCACCAAGGCAACGAUCAGUAGCUGGUCUGAGAGGAUGUUCAGCCACACUGGAACUGAGACACGGUCCAGACUCCUACGGGAGGCAGCAGUAAGGAAUAUUGCUCAAUGGGAGAAAUCCUGAAGCAGCAACGCCGCGUGAGGGACGAAGGGCUUUUGCUUGUAAACCUCUGUAGUGAGAGAAAAAAAUCCCAAUCUUUGGGACAUGAUGGUAUCUCAAAAGUAAGCCCCGGCUAACUACGUG